AUCUUUUAUUCUUUAUAAGCUGAGUGAUAGGGGUUUUCACAGUCAUGUGUGAGAAAUAUGUCCUUCAAACUUUGCUGCAAAAAUGGCACAUCACCUGUCUGACA